AAAUCUUAGCACGGAGAAGGGAACUGUCUCAAAUACCAGUGCAUAUGAAGUUGAAAUGUCAGAAGCAAAACAAGUGCUGAGCCUGCAACUUACAUCGAAAGAAACUUAGAUGGCCCUCAAAGCUGAUACUGAUGAAAAUUCAGAUAAUUUGGCAGCCACUGAGGGAAACUGUAAAGAUAUUUGAGGGUGAGAAAAAAAGAUCAGUUCUUGGUCCACGAAGGAAAGACCUCGAGGUAAUUUCCUGGGGGAGAUGAAGUCGACUCGCUAGAAAAAGCCGCGUCACACGUGCAAAUUGCAAUAAAUUACAGGUUUGAAUGAUAGUUUCAUGCAUUCGCGUUGGUGAGCAUUACAACAACUCAAUGCAAAAUAUACAUGAAAUUUAAGGGUGAUUGGAUAAAAUUCUAAAAUCCUCCGUUCUUGUGUAUGUCGAGGUUAUCUUAUCUGGAGAAAGGGAACGGCCAAUCUCUUCAAGUCCAAAAAAAAUUGUUUGUCUUUAAGUGAUAAACCCAGCUUGUUUAUAAUGAGAUUUAACAAUAGUAAAAGUAAAAACCGUAGUUGUUUCUUAUUUUAGUUUUUGCCUUUUCGAGGUGAUUCUUCUAUGUAUAUUUUUUGUUUUGCAUGAUUGGAAGAUUUAUAUAUAUAUAUUUUCAAGGUGAUUCUUCAA